rnacentral:lncRNA from 1 species
AACUUAACCUGUGCGAUUUACUCACCCACUCGCCGAUUUCCACAACCCGAUUCUCUCACGGAUCUAAGAAUUGCACGCCCUCGUCACAACCAAAUCAGGGGUUUUCUUAGAAACCCUAAAUCGCUCGUAAACGACGACGGCGAAAAUUAACUCAGCCGCUCCGGAGAGGACUCGCUCAUGGUGAAGCGGAGUCUCUCGCGAUGGAGCAGAAAGAAGUCACGGAAGGAAGGUAGUUGGAGCUUUCUGUCGCCCACGGUCAGGUCGGAAAAGGAGCUUCUGUUGCUAGCUGAGAUUGAACGUAAUCUGUCGCUCGCGGAGGGAAGAUCGCUUGCAGUCGCUCUCGCAUUCCGCAGUCCACUCGCAGCUCGCAAUCGUUCGCAGUCGAGACGCGAUCAGACGCUCGUUGUCAGAUCGCUCGCGACAGUCAGAGGUUCACCCACUCGCUCGCGCUCAGAUUCCUUUGCUCAUUCGCUCGCUCCCUUCAGUCGCUAGGG